UUAACGGAGAGUUUGAUCCUGGCUCAGGACGAACGCUGGCGGCGUGCUUAACACAUGCAAGUCGAACGAUGAAGCCCAGCUUGCUGGGUGGAUUAGUGGCGAACGGGUGAGUAACACGUGGGUGAUCUGCCCUGCACUUCGGGAUAAGCCUGGGAAACUGGGUCUAAUACCGGAUAUGACCAAAGGCUGCAUGGUUUUUGGUGGAAAGUUUUUCGGUGCAGGAUGAGCCCGCGGCCUAUCAGCUUGUUGGUGGGGUAAUGGCCUACCAAGGCGACGACGGGUAGCCGGCCUGAGAGGGCGACCGGCCACACUGGGACUGAGACACGGCCCAGACUCCUACGGGAGGCAGCAGUGGGGAAU
rnacentral:rRNA from 1 species